GGUCCUGGAGGACAGGGGGCUGGACUAGGAGCUGGAGGUCUGGGAGGAGGAGGUCUUAGACCAGGAGUCAGACCAGGAGGUUAUGGACCAGGUGGAGCUGGGGCUGGACCAGGUGGUUAUGGGCCUAGUGCUGGUCUUAGUCAGGGCGGAGCUGUGGCUGGAGGUCUUGGUGGUGGUUACGGACUUGGCGGUGGUCUAGGUGCCGGAGGCCUUGGAGCAGGAGCUGGAGGAAAGCCAGAGAAGGCAGGAGCUGGCUACGGUGGUAGAGAUCCUGGAGGACAGGGGGCUGGACUGGGUGUUGGAGGUUUUGGACCAGGUGGCUAUGGACCAGGUGGAGCUGGUGCUGGACCAGGUGGCUAUGGGCUUGGUGUUGGUCUUGGUCCUGGGGGAGCUGGUCCUGGAGUUUUUGCUGGUGGUUAUG